rfam:Pristionchus pacificus strain PS312 contig8545, whole genome shotgun sequence.
CCCUCAGUUGAGGUAGUUAAGAAUAAGUGAUGACCAUCAGAAGUAUUCACGUAUUCUCCCUGCCUCCACUGUGUC